GAUGAAGAACGUAGCGAAAUGCGAUAAGUAAUGUGAAUUGCAGAAUUCAGUGAAUCAUCGAAUCUUUGAACGCACCUUGCGCCCUUUGGCUAUUCCGAAGGGCAUGCCUGUUUGAGUAUCAUGAACACCUCAACUCUUCAUGGUUUUCCAUGAUGAGCUUGGACUUUGGGGGUCUUGCUGGCCUGUGGGUCGGCUCCUCUCAAAUGAAUCAGCUUGCCGGUUUUUGGUGGGCAUCACAGGUGUGAUAACUAUCUACGCUUGUGGUUUUCCACCAGGGUAACCUUCAGCAGUGGAGGUUCACUGGAGCUUACAAAUGUCUCUCCUCUGUGAGGACAGCCCUUUGAAUGUUUGAUCUCAAAUCAGGUAGGACUACCCGCUGAACUUAAGCAUAUCAAUAAGCGGAGGA
rnacentral:misc_RNA from 1 species